ACCUAACGGGUUCGGCUGCGGCCGAGGCGCCGCGGGGCUGCGCGGGCAAGUCGGAGCUAAGGGCUUGCCGACAAGGUGAGGGGCAAGGAGGUGCGGGGCCAGGCAGAAGUCUUAGAAAUCAUCUUGGAUAUUUCCCUCUUCUUUGUUCGCUGUUUCCAGAAGUGAGCAGACAGACCUGGGCUCUCUCCUCAACUUGCCCCAAGCUAACUGUGGAGUCGAAAGUUAACUUCAAGUGUACUCAUCAGGUAACAAUAUUCAGUGGGACUCUGCCUGAAUUUGAGGAGUAGUUGAGAUUACCAGUGAUGAAUACAGUGACUUUUGGGCUGUGUAUCUCCGUAUUUUGAGGAGAAGGUGAGAACUUUACCUUUAAGACAGAUAGCUGUGUUUUGUUACAAGAAAAAUUGGAGUUGUUUUAUUGAUGCACAGAAGUCAAUAACUGUUUAGAAGGGGGGAGCCAAACAGCCGCAGGGCUGUCCUCAGUUGUACUGCUGCGUUUUUGCUAAAGGGGUUCUUUGAGGUUUUUUUUUUUUUAAGAUUUUAUUUAU